GACGAACGCUGGCGGCGUGCCUAAUACAUGCAAGUCGAACGCUUCUUUCCUCCCGAGUGCUUGCACUCAAUUGGAAAGAGGAGUGGCGGACGGGUGAGCAACACGUGUGUAACCUACCCAUCAGAGGGGGAUAACACUUGGAAACAGGUGCUAAUACCGCAUAACAGUUUAUGCCGCAUGGCAUAAGAGUGAAAGGCGCUUUCGGGUGUCGCUGAUGGAUGGACCCGCGGUGCAUUAGCUAGUUGGUGGGGUAACGGCUCACCAAGGCCACGAUGCAUAGCCGACCUGAGAGGGUGAUCGGCCACACUGGGACUGAGACACGGCCCAGACUCCUACGGGAGGCAGCAGUAGGGAAUCUUCGGCAAUGGACGAAAGUCUGACCGAGCAACGCCGCGUGAGUGAAGAAGGUUUUCGGAUCGUAAAACUCUGUUGUUAGAGAAGAACAAGGACGUUAGUAACUGAACGUCCCCUGACGGUAUCUAACCAGAAAGCCACGGCUAACUACGUG
rnacentral:rRNA from 1 species